ACCAGCACGCUUGCCAAGACCAGGCCUGAAGCCCCCUCGGGAAUGAGGAGCAGAGGACAGCCAGGGGGUGCCGGCAGGGUCAGGCGGUCUCUGAUCCGGGAUCGCUCACGUCUCUUAUAAAAGGUAAGUGCGCCGGCCCCCGGGGGGCCCUGAGCGCCACACCGCAGCUGUGAUUUGUGAGGAGGAGACUGGCUACGAAUCAAACGGCUUUAAGUAGUAGUUUCAGUGCAGCAAACCAAUUGACACGCAAAGAGAAUGGAAAAUGGCUCUGUGUUUUAAUCCAUGAGUGUCAUAGAACUCGGUUUUCAGGCUGGAACAAAGUUUUUGCUCUCUUUGACAAAGCGCCUCUGAGUGGAGUACUCAGUGGGGGUCAGAGACCAGAGAGCGACUGUUGGGCGCCUCCCGGUCGAUGGCUUUGUCACCUGAGUGAAAGCCAGCCUCAAAGUAGGUUAGUAAAUGCUUUCUCCGAGGUCUUAGUGGGGAUCCAGUCUUGCAAUCGCUCCAAAGGGCUGCUGGGGAGCUCGUUAGCUACAGGGGAUCAUAUAUCCAAGAGGGGAAAAGAGUAUAUACGUGCUUGCAAGCAGUUCUCCAAAUACUUGCGUGUCACGGGGUAUAAUUUGUUACGGUUGUAAAAACCGAGGUUUUCUGAUUUCUGAAUAGACACAAGAAAGACCCUUAGGUCAUCUUCAUGCAUUAUGUUUCUAUCGUAUCUGAUUGCUCCAAAAUAUCACAUGCCUCUGCUUCACUGGUUUUCCGGUUCUUCCUGUUUUUGAUAGCUCCUUGAGGUCACUUGAGGUGGUCACAGAAGGCUGACAUCAGUCACCUCCUGUAGCUUUCGCGCAGAGCCUGAGGGGCCCCAGCGAGAAGCCUUCCGAGCUGGAAACCAAGGAGUCCGUUCGUCCUGCUGCUGGUGGUAUAAGGCGUUCAGAGCCCUCAGAGUAUCUCUGCCAGGAAAAAGUCUUGGGCUGUCAUUGUCACCACCGCUUUUGCGCCAUGUGAAAUUGCUGGUCCUGGCAUGAACUAAAUCCCGAAGGACGCAAAGGCGAGACUGGGGUUCAUACCCGUCAGACCCCCGCCCCACACCGUAGCUGGGGAUGAGACAGAAGAUGUGGCUGGAGAACACCAAGCCAGUGACCAGAAUUUCUAGAAUACAUUUGUUCUGCUAAUUUGAACAUUGGAUACCUCUUAUAUCUUAAUAAUGGUUCCUAAUUAUUUCACACGUGUAGAUCUCAUCUCGCUCAAAAGAUGAAAGCUUCCCCCAAAACAGGGAUCAAACUUCUGGUCCUCUUGUAUCUCUCAAAAUGCCUAGCACUUUGGGAAAGAAUAGAUUGAAGACGUACUUGUUGCCUUGAGUCAAAUGUCUGUGGAGACAGGAGGGAGCCAGUGCAUGAUCAUCGAAGUCCCGGAAUUAUUCAAAGCCCUGAUUUCAGCUGUGGAGCACUCUUUCCCCUAAAGCCUCUUAUCAUAAAUACAGUAGAGAAAAAAGGGGGUUAUUAUGAUACCAUCUCUCUUUGCUUCUCCUACUCUCCUGCUGGUAUUGAAAUGAUCAAGAGAGUAGAAAAGUGGCCAAAAA
rnacentral:lncRNA from 1 species